rnacentral:rRNA from 1 species
UACGUAGGGUGCAAGCGUUAAUCGGAAUUACUGGGCGUAAAGCGUGCGCAGGCGGCUUUGCAAGACAGAUGUGAAAUCCCCAGGCUCAACCUGGGAACUGCGUCUGAUACUGGAUGGCUUGAAUUCGGGAGAGGGAUGCAGAAUUCCAGGUGUAGCGGUGAAAUGCGUAGAUAUCUGGAGGAAUACCGGUGGCGAAGGCGGCAUCCUGGACCGACAUUGACGCUGAGGAGCGAAAGCUAGGGGAGCAAACGGG